rnacentral:rRNA from 1 species
AUUUAUUACCGACGCAAACUUUGCUAUGGGGCGGCUGCUAGGGGACUACGAGCGUGUGCUUAAAACUCAAAGAACUUGGCGGCUCGUUAACUACUCAGGGGAAUAUGCGCCUUAAUCCGAUGAUCCGCGUUACAUCUUACCUUACCUUGAAAAAGUACAGCUGGUGUAUUGCCGUUGUCAGCCUGUUGUUCGAGCAAAGCGAAACAGGCCCAAAGGAACUAGUCGAUGACUAUUCGCAGAUGCCGUAAAUUCAGGUCGAAAUACUGCCUAUGGUACAGGGGAGUGGGUAUUACAAUUUGGAAUUAGAAUCACGGAGCUUGAAAAGAGGUGAAACCUCAGGUGAAGGUGAACUUGAGAGUAAGGGGAGAUUAAUAUGCUUCCCUGAACAUGUGCCUAACUUGUGUACAAACCGCCCGUCGCUCUCGGCGGAAGCUGAGAU